rnacentral:rRNA from 1 species
GGGUUGUGAGGUUAAGCGACUAAGCGUACACGGUGGAUGCCCUGGCAGUCAGAGGCGAUGAAGGACGUGCUAAUCUGCGAAAAGCGUCGGUAAGGUGAUAUGAACCGUUACAGCCGGCGAUGUCCGAAUGGGGAAACCCAGUGCAAUUCGUUGCACUAUCGUUAACUGAAUACAUAGGUUAACGAGGCGAACCGGGGGAACUGAAACAUCUAAGUACCCCGAGGAAAAGAAAUCAACCGAGAUUCCCCCAGUAGCGGCGAGCGAACGGGGAGCAGCCCAGAGUCUGAAUCAGCUUGUGUGUUAGUGGAACGGUCUGGAAAGUCCGACGGUACAGGGUGAUAGUCCCGUACACCAAAAUGCACAGGUUGUGAACUCGAAGAGUAGGGCGGGACACGUGGUAUCCUGUCUGAAUAUGGGGGGACCAUCCUCCAAGGCUAAAUACUCCUGACUGACCGAUAGUGAACCAGUACCGUGAGGGAAAGGCGAAAAGAACCCCGGCGAGGGGAGUGAAAAAGAACCUGAAACCGUGUACGUACAAGCAGUGGGAGCACCUUCGGGUGUGACUGCGUACCUUUUGUAUAAUGGGUCAGCGACUUAUAUUCUGUAGCAAGGUUAACCGUAUAGGGGAGCCGCAGGGAAACCGAGUCUUAACUGGGCGUUAAGUUGCAGGGUAUAGACCCGAAACCCGGUGAUCUAGCCAUGGGCAGGUUGAAGGUUGGGUAACACUAACUGGAGGACCGAACCGACUAAUGUUGAAAAAUUAGCGGAUGACUUGUGGCUGGGGGUGAAAGGCCAAUCAAACCGGGAGAUAGCUGGUUCUCCCCGAAAGCUAUUUAGGUAGCGCCUCGUGAAUUCAUCUUCGGGGGUAGAGCACUGUUUCGGCUAGGGGGUCAUCCCGACUUACCAACCCGAUGCAAACUACGAAUACCGAAGAAUGUUAUCACGGGAGACACACGGCGGGUGCUAACGUCCGUCGUGAAGAGGGAAACAACCCAGACCGCCAGCUAAGGUCCCAAAGUCAUGGUUAAGUGGGAAACGAUGUGGGAAGGCACAGACAGCCAGGAUGUUGGCUUAGAAGCAGCCAUCAUUUAAAGAAAGCGUAAUAGCUCACUGGUCGAGUCGGCCUGCGCGGAAGAUGUAACGGGGCUAAACCAUGCACCGAAGCUGCGGCAGCGACACUAUGUGUUGUUGGGUAGGGGAGCGUUCUGUAAGCCUGCGAAGGUGACCUGUGAGGGUUGCUGGAGGUAUCAGAAGUGCGAAUGCUGACAUAAGUAACGAUAAAGCGGGUGAAAAGCCCGCUCGCCGGAAGACCAAGGGUUCCUGUCCAACGUUAAUCGGGGCAGGGUGAGUCGACCCCUAAGGCGAGGCCGAAAGGCGUAGUCGAUGGGAAACAGGUUAAUAUUCCUGUACUUGGUGUUACUGCGAAGGGGGACGGAGAAGGCUAUGUUAGCCGGGCGACGGUUGUCCCGGUUUAAGCAUGUAGGCUGAUUGUCCAGGCAAAUCCGGAUAAUCAAGGCUGAGGUGUGAUGACGAGGCACUACGGUGCUGAAGUAACAAAUGCCCUGCUUCCAGGAAAAGCCUCUAAGCAUCAGGUAACAUUAAAUCGUACCCCAAACCGACACAGGUGGUCAGGUAGAGAAUACCAAGGCGCUUGAGAGAACUCGGGUGAAGGAACUAGGCAAAAUGGUGCCGUAACUUCGGGAGAAGGCACGCUGGUGUGUAGGUGAAGUCCCUGCGGAUGGAGCUGAGACCAGUCGAAGAUACCAGCUGGCUGCAACUGUUUAUUAAAAACACAGCACUGUGCAAACACGAAAGUGGACGUAUACGGUGUGACGCCUGCCCGGUGCCGGAAGGUUAAUUGAUGGGGUUAUCCGUAAGGAGAAGCUCUUGAUCGAAGCCCCGGUAAACGGCGGCCGUAACUAUAACGGUCCUAAGGUAGCGAAAUUCCUUGUCGGGUAAGUUCCGACCUGCACGAAUGGCGUAAUGAUGGCCAGGCUGUCUCCACCCGAGACUCAGUGAAAUUGAACUCGCUGUGAAGAUGCAGUGUACCCGCGGCAAGACGGAAAGACCCCGUGAACCUUUACUAUAGCUUGACACUGAACAUUGAGCCUUGAUGUGUAGGAUAGGUGGGAGGCUUUGAAGCGUGGACGCCAGUCUGCGUGGAGCCAACCUUGAAAUACCACCCUUUAAUGUUUGAUGUUCUAACGUUGGCCCCUUACCGGGGUUGCGGACAGUGUCUGGUGGGUAGUUUGACUGGGGCGGUCUCCUCCCAAAGCGUAACGGAGGAGCACGAAGGUUAGCUAAUCCUGGUCGGACAUCAGGAGGUUAGUGCAAUGGCAUAAGCUAGCUUGACUGCGAGCGUGACGGCGCGAGCAGGUGCGAAAGCAGGUCAUAGUGAUCCGGUGGUUCUGAAUGGAAGGGCCAUCGCUCAACGGAUAAAAGGUACUCCGGGGAUAACAGGCUGAUACCGCCCAAGAGUUCAUAUCGACGGCGGUGUUUGGCACCUCGAUGUCGGCUCAUCACAUCCUGGGGCUGAAGUAGGUCCCAAGGGUAUGGCUGUUCGCCAUUUAAAGUGGUACGCGAGCUGGGUUUAGAACGUCGUGAGACAGUUCGGUCCCUAUCUGCCGUGGGCGCUGGAGAAUUGAGGGGGGCUGCUCCUAGUACGAGAGGACCGGAGUGGACGCAUCACUGGUGUUCGGGUUGUCAUGCCAAUGGCACUGCCCGGUAGCUAAAUGCGGAAGAGAUAAGUGCUGAAAGCAUCUAAGCACGAAACUUGCCCCGAGAUGAGUUCUCCCUGAGACUUUAAGUCUCCUGAAGGAACGUUAAAGACGAUGACGUUGAUAGGCCGGGUGUGUAAGCGCAGCGAUGCGUUGAGCUAACCGGUACUAAUGAACCGUGAGGCUUAACCUUACAACGCCGAAG